AUUGAACGCUGGCGGCAUGCUUUACACAUGCAAGUCGAACGGCAGCGCGGGGCAACCUGGCGGCGAGUGGCGCACGGGUGAGUAAUAUAUCGGAACGUACCCAGAAGUGGGGGAUAACGUAGCGAAAGUUACGCUCAUACCGCAUACGAUCUACGGAGGAAAGUAGGGGACCGCAAGGCCUUAUGCUUUUGGAGCGGCCGCUAUCUGAUUAGCUAGUUGGUGAGGUAAAGGCUCACCAAGGCGACGAUCAGUAGCUGGUCUGAGAGGACGACCAGCCACACUGGAACUGAGACACGGUCCAGACUCCUACGGGAGGCAGCAGUGGGGAAUUUUGGACAAUGGGCGCAAGCCUGAUCCAGCAAUGCCGCGUGAGUGAAGAAGGCCUUCGGGUUGUAAAGCUCUUUUGUCAGGGAAGAAACGGUAGAGGCUAAUAUCCUUUGCUAAUGACGGUACCUGAAGAAUAAGCACCGGCUAACUACGUG
rnacentral:rRNA from 1 species